rnacentral:lncRNA from 1 species
UUGGGGUGUUCUGCUCUGGCGGCAGCGGCGGCGGGACGCGGAGGCUCCCACGGGAUUCGGCCUCAGUAGCGAGGCGGCGGCGGCAGCGGCGGCUGCGGAGGCACAGGCAGCAGCUGAGGCAGCGGCGGGCUCAGGUGCAGCCGCUGAGUGAAGACAUAGUCCAGAGAGGGAAGUGUAAAGCUACAGGCUGAACAUAACUUCUUUUUUUCAAAGUUCCCUGUGUUGUGAACUGAGCUUGGGUGAAGUGAAAUCUUUGAGGUAAGGCAACUAUAAUGAUAAAAAUGGAAAGAAAGCCUGUGAAAUUUGGGAGCCUUCAGAGAUAACAUUUUAGAGUCACUGCCUAAAUAUUGAAAUGCCACCAUUUGUUGUUUGGGGGGAUGUGGAGCUAAAUUGAGAACGGGAGCACACAUCUGCCUUGACUGCUAAGUAUAUCCAUCUCUACUGC